rnacentral:rRNA from 1 species
AUACGUAGGUGGCAAGCGUUGUCCGGAAUUAUUGGGCGUAAAGGAUGCGUAGGCGGUCCUUUAAGUGGGAUGUGAAAUCCCUGGGCUUAACCCAGGAAUAGCAUUCCAAACUGGAGGACUAGAGUGCAGGAGAGGAAAGUGGAAUUCCCAGUGUAGCGGUGAAAUGCGUAGAGAUUGGGAGGAACACCAGUGGCGAAGGCGGCUUUCUGGACUGUAACUGACACUGAGGCAUGAAAGCGUGGGGAGCAAACAGGAUUAGAUACCCUGGUAGUCCACGCUGUAAACGAUGGAUACUAGGUGUGGGAGGUAUCGAACCCUUCCGUGCCGCAGUAAACGCAAUAAGUAUCCCGCCUGGGGAGUACGGCCGCAAGGUUGAA